rnacentral:rRNA from 1 species
UACGGGGGGGCAAGCGUUGUUCGGAUUUACUGGGCGUAAAGGGCGCGUAGGCGGCGUGACAAGUCACUUGUGAAAUCUCUGAGCUUAACUCAGAACGGCCAAGUGAAACUGUUGUGCUAGAGUGCAGAAGGGGCAAUCGGAAUUCUUGGUGUAGCGGUGAAAUGCGUAGAUAUCAAGAGGAACACCUGAGGUGAAGACGGGUUGCUGGGCUGACACUGACGCUGAGGCGCGAAAGCCAGGGGAGCAAACGGG